rnacentral:rRNA from 1 species
GAUGAACGUUGGCGGCGUGCCUAAUACAUGCAAGUCGAACGAAGACUGUAGUAAUACUGUCUUAGUGGCGAACGGGUGAGUAACGCGUGGGUGACCUGCCCCGAAGUGUGGGAUAACAGUCCGAAAGGAUUGCUAAUACUGCAUAAUAUCCAAGAGAUUAGACGCUUUCGGAUUAAAGGAGUAAUUCGCUUCGGGAGGGGCCCGCGUCCCAUCAGCUAGUUGGUAAGGUAAUGGCUUACCAAGGCGAUGACGGGUAGGGGACCUGAGAGGGUGGCCCCCCAAAUGGAACUGAAACACGGUCCAUACACCUACGGGUGGCAGCAGUAGGGAAUAUUAGUAAUGGGCGAAAGCCUGAACUAGCAACGCCGCGUGUGCGAAGAAGGCCUUCGGGUCGUAAAGCACUUUUGAGAGGAUGAGGAAGGACGGUACUCUCAGAAUAAGUCUCGGCUAACUACGUGCCAGCAGCCGACGGUAAACUAGUCUACG